ACUCCUACGGGAGGCAGCAGUAGGGAAUCUUCCACAAUGGGCGCAAGCCUGAUGGAGCAACACCGCGUGAGUGAAGAAGGGUUUCGGCUCGUAAAGCUCUGUUGUUAAAGAAGAACACGUAUGAGAGUAACUGUUCAUACAUUGACGGUAUUUAACCAGAAAGUCACGGCUAACUACGUGCCAGCAGCCGCGGUAAUACGUAGGUGGCAAGCGUUAUCCGGAUUUAUUGGGCGUAAAGAGAGUGCAGGCGGUUUUCUAAGUCUGAUGUGAAAGCCUUCGGCUUAACCGGAGAAGUGCAUCGGAAACUGGAUAACUUGAGUGCAGAAGAGGGUAGUGGAACUCCAUGUGUAGCGGUGGAAUGCGUAGAUAUAUGGAAGAACACCAGUGGCGAAGGCGGCUACCUGGUCUGCAACUGACGCUGAGACUCGAAAGCAUGGGUAGCGAACAGGAUUAGAUACCCUGGUAGGAUAGCG
rnacentral:rRNA from 1 species